GACGGAGCAACGCCGCGUGAGUGAUGAAGGUCUUCGGAUCGUAAAACUCUGUUGUUAGGGAAGAACAAAUUUGUUAGUAACUGAACAAGUCUUGACGGUACCUAACCAGAAAGCCACGGCUAACUACGUGCCAGCAGCCGCGGUAAUACGUAGGUGGCAAGCGUUAUCCGGAAUUAUUGGGCGUAAAGCGCGCGUAGGCGGUUUCUUAAGUCUGAUGUGAAAGCCCACGGCUCAACCGUGGAGGGUCAUUGGAAACUGGG
rnacentral:rRNA from 1 species